rnacentral:rRNA from 1 species
CCUACGGGAGGCAGCAGCAAGGAAUUUUCCCCAAUGGGCGCAAGCCUGAGGGAGCAACGCCGCGUGCCGGAUGACGGCCUUCGGGUUGUAAACGGCUUUUGGGUGGGAAGAAUUGGACGGUACCACCCGAAUCAGCCCCGGCUAACUCCGUGCCAGCAGCCGCGGUAAGACGGAGGGGGCAAGCGUUGUCCGGACUCACUGGGCGUAAAGGGCGCGCAGGCGGUGCUGUGCGUCGGCGCUGAAAGCGCCCGGCUUAACCGGGCGAGGUGCGGCGAUACGACGGCACUGGAGGCAGGGAGAGGCUGGCGGAAUUCCGGGUGUAGUGGUGAAAUGCGUAGAGAUCCGGAGGAACGCCCGUGGCGCAAGCGGCCAGCUGGUCCUGACCUGACGCUGAGGCGCGACAGCGUGGGGAGCGAACCGGAUUAGAUACCCCUGUAGUC